rnacentral:rRNA from 1 species
UACGUAGGCAGCAAGCGUUGUUCGGAAUUACUGGGCGUAAAGAGUGUGUAGGCGGUGCUCCAAGUCUGGUGUGAAAUCUCCCGGCUUAACUGGGAGGGUGCAUUAGAAACUGGAAUGCUAGAGGAUGGGAGAGGUAAGCGGAAUUCCUGGUGUAGCGGUGAAAUGCGUAGAUAUCAGGAAGAACACCUAUGGCGAAGGCAGCUCUCUGGGACGGUACUGACGCUGAGACGCGAAAGCGUGGGGAGCGAACAGG